rnacentral:rRNA from 1 species
UACGAAGGGGGCUAGCGUUGCUCGGAAUCACUGGGCGUAAAGCGCACGUAGGCGGAUUGCUAAGUCAGGGGGGAAAUCCUGGAGCUCAACUCCAGAACUGCCUUUGAUACUGGCGACCUUGAGUCCGGGAGAGGUGAGUGGAACUGCGAGUGUAGAGGUGAAAUUCGUAGAUAUUCGCAAGAACACCAGUGGCGAAGGCGGCUCACUGGCCCGGUACUGACGCUGAGGUGCGAAAGCGUGGGGAGCAAACAGG